rnacentral:rRNA from 1 species
CCUACGGGAGGCAGCAGUGGGGAAUAUUGCACAAUGGGCGCAAGCCUGAUGCAGCGACGCCGCGUGAGGGAUGACGGCCUUCGGGUUGUAAACCUCUGUUAGCAGGGAAGAAGAGAGAUUGACGGUACCUGCAGAGAAAGCGCCGGCUAACUACGUGCCAGCAGCCGCGGUAAUACGUAGGGCGCGAGCGUUGUCCGGAAUUAUUGGGCGUAAAGGGCUUGUAGGCGGUUGGUCGCGUCUGCCGUGAAAUCCUCUGGCUUAACUGGGGGCGUGCGGUGGGUACGGGCUGACUUGAGUGCGGUAGGGGAGACUGGAACUCCUGGUGUAGCGGUGGAAUGCGCAGAUAUCAGGAAGAACACCGGUGGCGAAGGCGGGUCUCUGGGCCGUUACUGACGCUGAGGAGCGAAAGCGUGGGGAGCGAACAGGAUUAGAUACCCUGGUAGUCCACGCUGUAAACGUUGGGCACUAGGUGUGGGGGCCACCCGUGGUUUCUGCGCCGUAGCUAACGCUUUAAGUGCCCCGCCUGGGGAGUACGGCCGCAAGGCUAAAACUCAAAGGAAUUGACGGGGGCCCGCACAAGCGGCGGAGCAUGCGGAUUAAUUCGAUGCAACGCGAAGAACCUUACCAAGGCUUGACAUAUACUGGACCGCAUCAGAGAUGGUGUUUCCCUUCGGGGCUGGUAUACAGGUGGUGCAUGGUUGUCGUCAGCUCGUGUCGUGAGAUGUUGGGUUAAGUCCCGCAACGAGCGCAACCCUUGCCCUAUGUUGCCAGCACGUGAUGGUGGGGACUCGUGGGGGACUGCCGGGGUUAACUCGGAGGAAGGUGGGGAUGACGUCAAAUCAUCAUGCCCCUUAUGUCUUGGGCUUCACGCAUGCUACAAUGGCCGGUACAGAGGGUUGCGAUACUGUGAGGUGGAGCUAAUCCCUAAAAGCCGGUCUCAGUUCGGAUUGGGGUCUGCAACUCGACCCCAUGAAGUCGGAGUCGCUAGUAAUCGCAGAUCAGCAACGCUGCGGUGAAUACGUUCCCGGGCCUUGUACACACCGCCCGUCAAGUCACGAAAGUUGGUAACACCCAAAGCCGGUGGCCUAACCCUUUUGGGAGGGAGCCGUCUAAGGUGGGAUUGGCGAUUGGGACUAAGUCGUAACAAGGUAGCCGUACCGGAAGGUGCGGCUGG